GAAAUCGUACGUAGAGUGUAAAGGCAAAAGAGAGCUUGAUUGCAAGACAUACAGGUCGAGCAAGGAUGAAAAUCGGACUUAGUGAUCCGGUGGUUCUGCGUGGAAGGGCCAUCGCUCAACGGAUAAAGGCUACCCUGGGGAUAACAGGCUUAUCUCCCCCAAGAGUCCACAUCGACGGGGAGGUUUGGCACCUCGAUGUCGGCUCAUCACAUCCUGGGGCUGUAGUAGGUCCCAAGGGUUGGGCUGUUCGCCCAU
rnacentral:rRNA from 1 species